UCCAACCCAUUGUGACCUUACCUAUGUUCUGUUGCCUCGGCGGCGUCGGUCAGCGCCCCUCUGAAAAGAGGACGAUGCCCCUCCCGCCGGCAGCACCAAACUCUUGAAUUUUACAGCGGAUUACAGUUCUGAUUUGAAAACAAAAAACAAGUUAAAACUUUCAACAACGGAUCUCUUGGUUCUGGCAUCGAUGAAGAACGCAGCGAAAUGCGAUAAGUAAUGUGAAUUGCAGAAUUCAGUGAAUCAUCGAAUCUUUGAACGCACAUUGCGCCCGGCAGUAAUCUGCCGGGCAUGCCUGUCCGAGCGUCAUUUCAACCCUCGAACCUCCGUUUCCUUAGGGAAGCCUAGGGUCGGUGUUGGGGCGCUACGGCGAGUCCUCGCGACCCCCGUAGGCCCUGAAAUACAGUGGCGGUCCCGCCGCGGUUGCCUUCUGCGUAGUAAGUCUCUUUUGCAAGCUCGCAUUGGGUCCCGGCGGAGGCCUGCCGUCAAACCACCUAACAACUCCAGAUGGUUUGACCUCGGAUCAGGUAGGGUUACC
rnacentral:rRNA from 1 species